GAUGAAGGGCUUUGAGGGUCCUUUGAGGGGUCAAGAUGGUAAGGGCCCACGGUGGAUGCCUCGGCACCCGAGCCGAUGAAGGACGUGGCUACCUGCGAUAAGCCAGGGGGAGCCGGUAGCGGGCGUGGAUCCCUGGAUGUCCGAAUGGGGGAACCCGGCCGGCGGGAACGCCGGUCACCGCGCUUUUGCGCGGGGGGAACCUGGGGAACUGAAACAUCUCAGUACCCAGAGGAGAGGAAAGAGAAAUCGACUCCCUGAGUAGCGGCGAGCGAAAGGGGACCAGCCUAAACCGUCCGGCUUGUCCGGGCGGGGUCGUGGGGCCCUCGGACACCGAAUCCUUAGCCUAGCCGAAGCUGUUGGGAAGCAGCGCCAGAGAGGGUGAAAGCCCCGUAGGCGAAAGGUGGGGGGAUAGGUGAGGGUACCCGAGUACCCCGUGGUUCGUGGAGCCAUGGGGGAAUCUGGGCGGACCACCGCCUAAGGCUAAGUACUCCGGGUGACCGAUAGCGCACCAGUACCGUGAGGGAAAGGUGAAAAGAACCCCGGGAGGGGAGUGAAAUAGAGCCUGAAACCGUGGGCUUACAAGCAGUCACGGCCCCGCAAGGGGUUGUGGCGUGCCUAUUGAAGCAUGAGCCGGCGACUCACGGUCGUGGGCGAGCUUAAGCCGUUGAGGCGGAGGCGUAGGGAAACCGAGUCCGAACAGGGCGCAAGCGGGCCGCACGCGGCCCGCAAAGUCCGCGGCCGUGGACCCGAAACCGGGCGAGCUAGCCCUGGCCAGGGUGAAGCUGGGGUGAAACCCAGUGGAGGCCCGAACCGGUGGGGGAUGCAAACCCCUCGGAUGAGCUGGGGCUAGGAGUGAAAAGCUAACCGAGCCCGGAGAUAGCUGGUUCUCCCCGAAAUGACUUUAGGGUCAGCCUCAGGCGCUGACUGGGGCCUGUAGAGCACUGAUAGGGCUAGGGGGCCCACCAGCCUACCAAACCCUGUCAAACUCCGAAGGGUCCCAGGUGGAGCCUGGGAGUGAGGGCGCGAGCGAUAACGUCCGCGUCCGAGCGCGGGAACAACCGAGACCGCCAGCUAAGGCCCCCAAGUCUGGGCUAAGUGGUAAAGGAUGUGGCGCCGCGAAGACAGCCAGGAGGUUGGCUUAGAAGCAGCCAUCCUUUAAAGAGUGCGUAAUAGCUCACUGGUCGAGUGGCGCCGCGCCGAAAAUGAUCGGGGCUUAAGCCCAGCGCCGAAGCUGCGGGUCUGGGGGAUGACCCCAGACGGUAGGGGAGCGUUCCCGAUGCCGAUGAAGGCCGACCCGCGAGGGCGGCUGGAGGUAAGGGAAGUGCGAAUGCCGGCAUGAGUAACGAUAAAGAGGGUGAGAAUCCCUCUCGCCGUAAGCCCAAGGGUUCCUACGCAAUGGUCGUCAGCGUAGGGUUAGGCGGGACCUAAGGUGAAGCCGAAAGGCGUAGCCGAAGGGCAGCCGGUUAAUAUUCCGGCCCUUCCCGCAGGUGCGAUGGGGGGACGCUCUAGGCUAGGGGGACCGGAGCCAUGGACGAGCCCGGCCAGAAGCGCAGGGUGGGAGGUAGGCAAAUCCGCCUCCCAACAAGCUCUGCGUGGUGGGGAAGCCCGUACGGGUGACAACCCCCCGAAGCCAGGGAGCCAAGAAAAGCCUCUAAGCACAACCUGCGGGAACCCGUACCGCAAACCGACACAGGUGGGCGGGUGCAAGAGCACUCAGGCGCGCGGGAGAACCCUCGCCAAGGAACUCUGCAAGUUGGCCCCGUAACUUCGGGAGAAGGGGUGCUCCCUGGGGUGAUGAGCCCCGGGGAGCCGCAGUGAACAGGCUCUGGCGACUGUUUACCAAAAACACAGCUCUCUGCGAACUCGUAAGAGGAGGUAUAGGGAGCGACGCUUGCCCGGUGCCGGAAGGUCAAGGGGAGGGGUGCAAGCCCCGAACCGAAGCCCCGGUGAACGGCGGCCGUAACUAUAACGGUCCUAAGGUAGCGAAAUUCCUUGUCGGGUAAGUUCCGACCUGCACGAAAAGCGUAACGACCGGAGCGCUGUCUCGGCGAGGGACCCGGUGAAAUUGAACUGGCUGUGAAGAUGCGGCCUACCCGUGGCAGGACGAAAAGACCCCGUGGAGCUUUACUGCAGCCUGGUGUUGGCUCUUGGUCGCGCCUGCGUAGGAUAGGUGGGAGCCUGUGAACCCCCGCUCCGGGUGGGGGGAGGCGCCGGUGAAAUACCACCCUGGCGCGGCUGGGGGCCUAACCCUCGGAUGGGGGGACAGCGCUUGGCGGGCAGUUUGACUGGGGCGGUCGCCUCCUAAAAGGUAACGGAGGCGCCCAAAGGUCCCCUCAGGCGGGACGGAAAUCCGCCGGAGAGCGCAAGGGUAGAAGGGGGCCUGACUGCGAGGCCUGCAAGCCGAGCAGGGGCGAAAGCCGGGCCUAGUGAACCGGUGGUCCCGUGUGGAAGGGCCAUCGAUCAACGGAUAAAAGUUACCCCGGGGAUAACAGGCUGAUCUCCCCCGAGCGACUCAGCGGCGGGGAGGUUUGGCACCUCGAUGUCGGCUCGUCGCAUCCUGGGGCUGAAGAAGGUCCCAAGGGUUGGGCUGUUCGCCCAUUAAAGCGGCACGCGAGCUGGGUUCAGAACGUCGUGAGACAGUUCGGUCUCUAUCCGCCACGGGCGCAGGAGGCUUGAGGGGGGCUCUUCCUAGUACGAGAGGACCGGAAGGGACGCACCUCUGGUUUCCCAGCUGUCCCUCCAGGGGCAUAAGCUGGGUAGCCAUGUGCGGAAGGGAUAACCGCUGAAAGCAUCUAAGCGGGAAGCCCGCCCCAAGAUGAGGCCUCCCACGGCGUCAAGCCGGUAAGGACCCGGGAAGACUACCCGGUGGAUGGGCCGGGGGUGUAAGCGCCGCGAGGCGUUGAGCCGACCGGUCCCAAUCGUCCGAGGUCUUGACCCCUCC
rnacentral:rRNA from 1 species